rnacentral:lncRNA from 1 species
UCCCCUAUAUAAACCACUCCAUAUGCCUCACCACUCACUCAUCCACCACAGCUUAGCAUUAACCACCAGUGCCUUACACACUCUCGAUCAACAAACUCUAGCCGAUCAGUUGCAUAGCAAGCAAUGGGGUGCUCUAAAACCCUAGUAGCUGGUCUCUUGGCCAUGCUCUUCCUAGCUCCGACCAUCCUAGCCACCGACCCUGAUCCUCUCCAGGACUUCUGCGUCGCCGACCUCGACGGCAAGGCAAUCUCGGUGAACGGGCACACAUGCAAGCCCAUGUCGGAGGCCGGCGACGACUUCCUCUUCUCAUCCAAGCUGGCCAAGGCUGGCAACACGUCCACUCCUAACGGCUCGGCCGUGACGGAGCUCGAUGUGGCAGAGUGGCCCGGCACAAACACGCUGGGCGUGUCCAUGAACCGCGUGGACUUUGCGCCCGGAGGCACCAACCCGCCACACAUCCACCCGCGUGCCACCGAGAUCGGCAUCGUGAUGAAAGGUGAGCUCCUCGUGGGAAUCCUCAGCAGCCUUGACUCUGGGAACAAGCUCUACUCCAGGGUGGUGCGCGCCGGAGAGACGUUCCUCAUCCCGCGGGGCCUCAUGCACUUCCAGUUCAAUGUCGGGAAGACCGAGGCCUCCAUGGUCGUCUCCUUCAACAGCCAGAACCCCGGCAUCGUCUUCGUGCCACUCACGCUCUUCGGCUCCAACCCACCCAUCCCGAUGCCGGUGCUCACCAAGGCGCUCCGGGUAGAGGCCGGGGUCGUGGAACUUCUCAAGUCCAAGUUUGCCGCUGGGUUUUAAUUCCUGGGAGACUGCCCAUGAAUGAUCAUAUAUCAUUCCGUAUAUGCAUGCUAGCGAAAUUUAAUAAUUCUCAGCAGAAGAUAUCUAUUCAAGCUUCUGGUUAAGCUCGCAUGCAGUUGUAAUAAGAUUGAAUAAGUUGGCCUCGUGGUUCAGUCAUCAGAGCCAAUACGAGGAAUUGAAAUGUACUACUUUUUAUUGUCUUCAUUGUUCUUUCAUUGUACGGAAUACAUAAUUAUCAUUUCCGCAUAUUUGUCUGAUGACCCUUUUAUAAGUUAGACAUACUCUCAACUCCACAUCAACAAAGGGAAAGAUAUCGGUACAGAGUCACGUCAACUUCGGAUAUAGACAAGGAUAAGGAAGAAGCCUUAAAGUAUUUGCCAAGACUACUACGGCAUGGUGAGCAAUGUCCAAACCAUUCAGAACACAUGUUCUGAAGUUACAGGCAGAACGCAAAAUGUACCCGUCAAUGCAUUAUAGCAAUCUCCAAAAUGUACAAAAAGAACACGAGAAUGGUUUUUCUACCAUGCAUGGGAUAUCCCACUGUCGGUUGUUGCUUUGACAUUCGUGCUAUCUUUUUUAAUGUCAACCUUGUGUCCUAAUGUUUUUUGUUUUCAAUGUGCGUAUCAUCUUAUUUAAGUUUGCACCAAUAAUAAAAUGAACUUGAUUUUAUAUCAGAUUUGUUGAUAAAUGAUGAUACACAACAAACCACUAGGAUGCACUUUUAAAAGAGAGGCAAAAAAACCUAAUGUGACACAUUGAAAAAAAUUAUAUUUUAAGUUUUUAACAACAACCAAAAAAAGUAGCAUGAAACUCAAAGCAAUCACUGAUGGUGGAUUCAUACAUGGUAGAAUAUCAUUUCUCCAAAAAGCAUGCCCUCAAGUUAUUGGAAUGCAUUGUAAAUGUAUUGGUUCAAGCUUUGUGCACAUAUGUAAAUGCAUCCACAUCUUCUUUUUAUUGUUCCAUAUUGCAAUAUCCCAAUUUCCCAGACAAGGCACCGGGGCAGAGGGCUUUUUCCAUGCUUUUACAAGAUUUGAUAGCUUGUUAUCAAGGACGCGGUUAUGGUGGCAAUGCAACAGAUUGCUCGUGGUAAUGGUGGGAAUUUUCAUUCUCUCAAUAAGACCUUGAUUGCUCUCCUUACUAAGAAAUAUGGGGCGACUCAUAUUGUGGACUUUGGGCCCGUUAGUCUACUCCAUAAGAUUCCAAGAUCUUUUCCAAGGCCCUUGCGCUUCGUUUGGGCACUAUUUUGGCUCAUCUCAUCACCAACAAACAGAGCAAUUUUAUUCGGAGACUAACAAUUCAAGAUGAUUUCAUGUUGGUUAGCAAAUCUAUCAAGUUAUUCCAUCAGAGGAAGAUUCCUAUGGUAUUACUGAAGCAAUGUCAUGCGGGCUUUCAACAAUGUUUCGUGGCGAUUAUUGCUGAAUGUGAUGCAGAUUCGUGCUUUGAGGCAAGGUGAUGCUCUUGGAUUUUGUUUAUGCUUUCUUCCGUUAGCACGGGAGUUUUGAUCAAUGGACACCUAAGCAGCAUAAUUUGGCAUGUGCGUGGGCUCAGCCGGGGUGAUCCAUUGUCGCCUCUCCUUUUUUUAAUAUAAUUAUGGAUGUAAUGAAUUCCAUGGUGUUGAAAUCUGAGAGCAGUGAGAUAUUGGCAGGUUUGGAACAAUAGGGUGUUCGACAUUGAUUUUCUCUUUUCGCUGAUGAUGCGGCUAGGUUUAUGAAGUCUUUACCAAAUGUGCUCACUGCGGUGAACGAGAUGCCUGGUUUUCUUUGGGAAGCGUCUGUCCUUGUGGAAAAUUUGAAUAAGACAUCUACUGCUCCAAUCCGAUGUGAGUCUGCUGAGGUGCAAAGGCUCACUGCUUUUUUCCCUUGUGAAGUGGCACCAUUCCUCUCUGUAACUACCUCAACCUCCCUCUCUCAUUAGUGGCCCUUACAAAGGCAGGCCUGCAAACACUAGUCGAUGAAGUGGCUCGCGGUUUAGCUACCUGGCGUACCUCCAUGCUCACCCACAGUGGGAUGAUUGUGUUGUUCAAGUCAGUGUUCAAGACCGUGUCAUCAUCGUCUGACCAGACACAUGUGGUGGAGAUCACGUGAAUACGGGAAUACAAAUACGAGUAAAUAAAACAAAACCCGUUACGAGUAUAAACGGUAUAGUGAUAAAGGAGUUGAUCACAGGGAUACCAAUAAUAUCUCACGUAGUGUUUGCUAACGUCUCGGGAAGUAGAGGGAAUAGUAUGCGGGACAAAAGGUUCGCUCAAGAACUUUGUGAAUAUGUGGGAGUUAACAAGGGUGUCCAUAUUCCGUUGUUAACUAUUGAUUAGAAGGUGUUCCGGGUCAUGCCCGCUUAUUUCCAAAGUAAUUAUUAUGGAAACUAAAAGUUGAGAGCAUGAGCAUCGAAAGUGUUUCGGAUGGUCCUAAAAGUGUUUUGGGAAUUCCAGAAAGAUAUAAUAUGUAAAAAAAUGGGUCUAUAUAUAUGGAAGGUUUCAGGAAGACAAAGGUUCUAGAAACUUCCAAAAAAAAUCCAGAAUAUAUUUUGGAAGAAAUACCCUCUUGGGUUGGCCCCGGCGCAGCCCCUAGUGGGCCAAAAAGCCACGAUCUAAUCCCGGUCUAAUUGGUCUAAUAGUUUAGACUUCUAAUUAGACGGGCUCUUAUGCCGGUCUAAUUGGUCUAAUUAGAUUAAAAUCCUAAUUAAAUAUGAACGCAACUAGGCUUCCCCUCUCUCUAGUUUUCUCGGAGCUCUUUUUCAUGGACCUUGAAGUAUUGCCGGAUCACUACUUCGGAACUCGUGGAUACUUCAGAGUGCACAUCUACUUUGAAUCUUGAUUGGUAGAUCAUCUCGGAGAAAUUCUCACAGUUGGGAGGUAUAACCAGUUGCCGAAAUUGCCAUGCUUCACUCACAGCCAGGAUCAGCCCAUGUCCCAAGGCAACCCUUGUAGCUACAUGCCGAGGCCUGACUACUUGGGGCCUCGCGCCCUGCAUUUUUGCAUGUUCAUGUGACACGUUAAAUGUUGAGAGAAAUAGAUUACUAAAUAUCACCCAUUUCGUUAUUCUAGAUGAGUAUCCUACAAUAUGUAUACCGAAAAAUGUAUUUUAAACUGUGGUAGGUGAGAAAGAUCUAUUAAAAAGAACUCUACGUAUACUCCCCCCUCCCAAUCCCCAUCCAGGUUUGUAAGACACUUUCGUCUUUUUUUGCCGAAUUUUAACCGUAAAUUUGACUAGUAAAAAUAAGUUAUACUGAAUGUAAUAAAUAUCGUACAUUCGGAUGUUGGAGACAGGGAGAGGCGGGCUGGUGCGCUGGAUGGAUCACGGUCAGAAAGUCUGACUUGCAACGCCACAGGCCCGUUGAUUGCCACUGACAACCAAGUUUUCGUUGUUUCGCUGGUGCCAUAUUUUCCGCGAUCGAAUAUUUAAACUGCGAGGAGAAAGGCAAGCAGGGCGCCAUAUCAGCACUUGAUCACUCACUGAUCGAUCAGUAGUAGCCACCUUCUCUGCGCCGACGUGUUAUAUAUUAUUGGCAACAAGUCAUCGAUUGAGAACAGAAACAAAACAAGAAGAGAACUAUUUGAGAGAGAGUAGUUACGCCGCAGCGAGUAGCCUCCCAUUUCUGACGAUCAUGCCAUACGAUAAACCGGCCGGCGGCGAGACCAGUUAGCAAGGUUGAAAUGCCAACACAUGUCGCGCUCAUUUCUCGGCUUUUUCAUUUUGCAUGUCGUCAUGCAGGCCCUGGACACUGACAUUUCUCUCUUUUGCUGUUGAAUGAAGACCCUAACCUUUCACCAUCAGCACGCCCCUCAACUUGAUAAGCCUAGACGAAACCCAUAUGCAUGAUUGAUGAGUAAUGGUGUGCACGAAUAUUAUGAACCCGUUUCCAAGAGCAAUACUCCAUUGAGAUACACCUCCUCCUUGUAUCUGUUCGUUGGUCCCAUUUCCAUAGCAGCCGGCAGUGGCCUUGACUCUGACUGCCACGCAAGUAAUAUAUCUUUAAUAAACUCGCUGCCUUGCUUCGUGUGUCCAUUUGCAAAUGCAUGCAGUGACGACAUGCACAUGCAUAGCUUAAUUAGCUCCAUGCAUCCACUGCUUCCAUUAAUCCCCUAUAUAAAGGACUCCAUAUGCCUCACCAUUCACUCAUCCACCACAGCUUAGCAGCAGCAACAACCAGUGCCAUAGACACUCUCCAUCAACAAACUCUAGCUGAUCAAUCCUAGCUAAGCUUAUUACAUAGCAAGCAUGGGGUACUCCAAAACCCUAGUAGCUGGCCUGUUCGCAAUGCUGUUACUAGCUCCGGCCGUCUUGGCCACCGACCCAGACCCUCUCCAGGACUUCUGUGUCGCCGACCUCGACGGCAAGGCGGUCUCGGUGAACGGGCACACGUGCAAGCCCAUGUCGGAGGCCGGCGACGACUUCC